AAAAAAAAAAAAAAAAACUGAAAUGUAUUGGUUAGGUUUUACAGUGUAAACCAAAUAAUGCUCACCCAUAGUCAGAAGUAUUUUGUAAUUACUUUUAAUUUUCUCCAAAGUAACUCUCCCCAAACAAAACCAAGAUUUUGUCAUGUUUAGGAAGUAUGCAAUGGUUAGGGACAUAUCAACUAGAGUUGAGGGCACACUCUUAUUCUACCCUUGUCAAAUAGUACAUACCAUUAAUCAAUCACAUUCACCUUUCUUUUUAGUCAUUUAAAUCAAUAGAUCAGUAACAUACAAACUCAAAUAAAUGCCCGUGCACAAUCAAAUGCAGCAUAUAAUAUCCCACAUAAGAGGCAGGACCUCAAAGGGUUAGCCAAUAAAAAUCCAGAGACCAAGAAGGUCGUACAAUUAAAAGAAAUACUGUCAGUUGCAAAAACUUUUUUUUCAAUUUGACAAGUUUACAAAGUGGAAGUAGUGACUAAUUAAAUUGUGAACCAUCAACCUUGCCAGUUGCUAUGGGGUCAGGCAAACGUAGAGCUUUCAAUUGAGAUGGAUCAACAAUAUCAGGA
rnacentral:misc_RNA from 1 species